AAAAAAAGUUAAUUAUUAAAAAUUGUAUUUUUGGACUUUUACAAAAGCUAAAUAUCUCGAAAGUUCAGUAUUACUAUUAAUAAAAAUGCCGCGUCCUAGAAGAUCUAAUCUUUCCCGGCGGACCCAUAAUGCAAUUAGGCAACGGAAUAGCGCGAGUCAAUUAUCUGACGAAGAGCGAGAAAUCGCCCGAGAAAGGCUCCGCGUUAGUACCCAGGGAAGAAGGGCCUUAAUUCGUGCUUCUCAAAGAGAGGCAGCCCGUGAAAUGGCAAUAAGAAAUGGUUCAAGGAUUGAUUUGAAUCGAGCAGCGUUUCGAUAUGAUUGCACCAUUGAUUACAGCUUGAAUCGUUUAGUUUGCAUUGGUCCAAUGGACGUUGUUUGCCAGCAUUGUGGCGCAUUGAAGUUUGCUGGUGAAACGCCCGGUUUGUGCUGCC